GUGUUACAGGCAGAGCCUAUUCUUAUGGGGUUCAUAUUUAUGCUACCACGAUUUUAGGUUCAAGUGAUAGAACUUUAAAACUUUGGAGAGGAAGCAAAUGUACACAUACUUUUGUUGGGCAUACAGAUCAAAUAUAGGCUGAUGCACUUGUUCUGAGGGGGAUCAGUUGCACAUUUGAGGAAGGGCACAAAAUACGUAUUGUUGGCAGAAUUGGUAGUGGCAAGACCACUCUCAUAGAGAUGAACUUGUUUUGUCCAGUGGAGCUAGCUAGAGGGAAGAUAUAGUAAUGUAUCUAUUGAAACCUGUAGUAUUCCAUGUAAUGUUCACUUUUUACGUAACUUUUAAAUUUUAAGUGUUCAUUUUUUUUUUCUAAUUCAGAAUAAUAUUACAAGGUACAUCAUAAUUUUAGGGUUUUAUUUACUGUGUUUGGGAUUCAAGAACCUUUAUAUAGCUGUGUUAUUUGUUUUUU